rnacentral:lncRNA from 1 species
CUCAAUUUGAUGUGAUAAAUCUUCACAACUUUUCGUUUUCAAAAGAUCCCGGAUAUCCUGUAUACAUUGUUAUUAUUAUUGCCGAAUAAAGUUGAAUGCCGAUCUAUAAAAGUAUCGAUUUGGAAUUUCUCGUGGAAAUUCCUAGCGGAACUUAUCGUGCAAUCCAAUCAUUUCAUUCGGAAGUGUCUGGUAUCUCGCGGAAGAAAGUUACCCGCUGAGUAAAACAGCGAGAGCCUCUUCGCGUUUCUCUCUCUCUCUCUCUCUCUCUCUCUCUCUCCCUCUCUCGCUCUACGAUCAGUUCUUAUUAAAUUCCUAGCCUCCAACUUCAGCCGAAGGAACUCGAAGGAGUCACAAUCGUUUCGCGCGGGAAAGAUAAUCCGACCUCGUUGCGGUUGCGCUCUCGUGAAAUGGAAAGAUACGGCCGUCCAGGCCGGAGAGCAUGCCUGAGUCGCUCGUGCAAUCGUUACAAGAUGGGCGCAUUUAUUUAUGCACAUAUUUGCGCGGUUUGCAAAAUACCAGCACGCCGAGCUCGUUCGCCGCGCGAGCGUGUAGAGCGGUAUUAAGUCGACAAAUGCGUCUCUUUGUACGGCUCUUUCGCGGCGGCGCACGCACGUUCGGUAGGCAAUCAGCCGCAGGUUGGCAGCAAAAAUUAGCGAAAAAGCGCGAAACUUUUCGCGAUGUAGCGCGAGAGGAGGUUUACUCAAUGCGACUCCGACGCACGGAGCUUUGGCCGAUUAUACGCCGGAGUGUGCCAUUCGCGACGAAGAAGAUUGUUAGCGUUCGCGGAUUACGUAACGACGAUUAAACGCGUGAAAAAAGCCUGUUGGAGCGGUCAAGUGCAAGAAAUUAUUUCGCGUUCCGAGAUGCACGUGAGAGUCGUCGACGUUGACAGAAGCGCGACUUCUUCAACCUUUUUGUUUCUUUCGUUCUGACCCAGGGCCGGUUGUUGCAACUUCUUGGUAAAUUAACUGACAGUUGAAUCAUAUGUUUGUCUUUGUUUCUCCUUCAACUUCGGGACAAAGACAGACAUAUGAUUUAAUUAUCAAUUAACUUACCAAGGAAUUGAAACAACCUACCCACAGUGGCAUUGCCUGGUGGUCUCGCGUUUGAUUAAGGGGGGAAUCCCGUCCGUAGGGUAAAAUAAUUGAUAAUUUUUUUCUUACGUUUUCUGAAAAUACAUAUUGUCAAGAAUUCAUUCUAAAAUCCGUAUCGAAAAAUUACGGAAUCAGAAAAUUACAGAAGUUACAACCUAUUCGAAACGGCACACGAGUCAAAAUCAGAGCGCUCAUUGGGUCUCUCAAAGUUUCGUCAUACAAUUGCUGUAGAAACAAUCCUACGAUACUCUUGGAAUGUAAAAAAGAGUUUCAUGAAGUGAAGGAGGAGAAUUCAUUAUAUGGACCUGAAAUUGCCGAUUAGGCUGAAACUUAUCUGAAGAAACUUAUGUGGAACGAUGGCGGAGCUCCGGCGCACUUAUGGAGUAACGUUUAUACGUUACAUUAAGUGACGAUAAGAAACACGCGAGCGGGAUUUACGAGAUCCACUUUGCCGUCAUAUCUGCCUACGUGGAUUAAUCAUUCCGUGGAUAAUCGUAUCUCGAGUGACUCGAGCGUGGCAAGUUUUCCAGAGUCGUGGAGUCUAAGACAAGGCGUCGCUGUGUUGCUGCUGUGCGUAUCGCUGCUGUGCGUAAGCCUGCUCGAUCGAUCGCGCCGGUAGUGACAAACGUAAAAAAAACAUCGAAACACCGGGCGACCCGCGGCGCCUAGAGCAAUUGCACACACGUGCACCGCACAUCUGUAGCGUACAUACACGGUGAUCGUUGCGAAAUUGGGUCGUUCAGAAAUUGAAACGCCUGCGUAGGUAACGCCAGAAGUUUCGCUGAUAAGAGCAGCAAGAGGAAGGGUCAUACGGAUGCUUAUCACCCUCGAGCAUCGGCCAGACGCCGCGAUACGGCUCAUUUUCUUCGUGACGCCACGAACGAGAGAGAGAGAGAGAGAGAGAGAGAGAAAAUCAGAUUAUAGUCGUUGUUAUUAAAAUCUGAUUAUAAAUUAGGUCGUUGACAGCUCGAACCCUUCGAAACAUUCUCCGUUUGUCGCUUUCCUUGCGCCAUGAUAAAAUACUUUCGAUAACGUCGUUGGGCCGUGUGGAGCGAUAGGAUUAAGAUUAAGGGAGGAUUAAGUCGUAUCUAAUUGAUGAGGACCGAUAAUAUGUAAUAAUAAUUGUAUAUUUUGCUGAUAACAUGAUGAUAAUUCUAUGUUAGAUCUAGAUACAACGUAUCUCUAGAUCUAACAUAGAGUUCACUUGGACACCUGUAAAGAUAUUGCAUAGGGUCGCUGUGUGACAUGCCUUUGGCAUAACCUCGUCACAGGGAGAAAUUUUUUAAAAUUACAAGGAAAUGGCUUCCCGAGCAAAAAUUUGUGAGGGCCAUCCUCAUGAAGCAUAAAGCCUUGAUAAGGCUGAAAACAGGAUGUCCUAAAAAUUAAUAUCACGUUAAGCCUUCAUUUUUUAGGGAUACCUUAGAUUUUACGAAAUAAGGCUUUGAUAAAGGAAAGUGUCUUUGAAGGAUUUAGUAUUCAGUACUUUAGAUAAGGCUUUGAUAGGAAAAGCUGAGGGGGGUCUUUGAAGGAUUUAUCAGAGGUGUUAUAGAUUUAAUAAAUAAGGCUUUGACGGAGAGAAAACUGAUAAGGGAGAAUCUUAGAAGAAUCUUUUAGAGAUGCCUUUACGAAAUAAUUAACAUGGAGAACUAAUGUGAGCCGUAGAAGGAUGCUUUUAAGGAUGCUUUUGAUAUACAAAAUCAAGUUU